UUAAGCGGAUGCAAGUCAGACUUCUGCGUGAAUUAUGCAUAGAUCUCAAAGGGAGAUUUGAGUGAAAAUACUGAGGUACUAUUCAAUCGUCAAACAUGAGAGAAUCUGUAGCAGGACAAGCCAAAUAGGGACCAAAGAGAGGGACAGACACAAGACAGUACCUUGAUGUGUCUGUAGGGAGGAGGUUUAAAGAGACAGUACCUUGAUGUGUCUGUAGGGAGGAGGUUUAAAGAGACAGUACCUUGAUGUGUCUGUAGGGAGGAGGUUUAAAGAGACAGUACCUUGAUGUGUCUGUAAGGUGGAGAUUUAAAGGGACAGUACCUUGAUGUGUC